CCAAAUGGUGACUUGACCUUAUCAUCUGUCAUAAUUGUUCUAAAGAUUGUGCUCAUCCUACUGAUUCUACCUUAUCAUCUGUCAUAAUUGUCCUGAUUUUUGAAGAUUUUGAACUCGAACAAUGCAGUUUUAUUAUCUGAUCGCUUUGAUCUGUUUGCAGAUUUAUGAGGUUUACAGAGUACAACCCAAGGGUGGCAAAUUUAAGAUCUUAAUUGCUUGGAAUAAACAACCAGGGAAGCUUCAAACAUAGUGGAACCGUACUUGUGUCACUGCGUGAAAAUUUUGGCCUUAGACUUGAAAUGACGUCAAGUAAACUUCUAUUCUUUUUGUUUCCUUAAUGUAUGGGUGUUGUUGGGUACUUAUUACUUUCUUGAAAAUAAACGAUUUGAAUAAUGUUGUGGCCAAGAACUCGGCCGAUAUCAUGUCUUGCUAUAUCCCUCAUGCUCCACUCUACUUGGAAGUGUAAUCGUUUUCAUUUUUAUUCCAUGUAGUCUCUGAUCAGUACAAUAAUAUUUGUAAGCCUCCAAAGCUCUUGAACUAGCCAAUGCUAGCUUUUUCCAAUAUAUCAGUUUUGUAGUAAUAUUAUCUUGUUUUGUGACCAAAUAAUCUAUUAUGUAGUCCUUGUUCGCUUAUGUGAGGAAUGCUUUCAAGAACUGGAGAUUGAUCGGAGCAGAUGGAGGCAGCAAGCUAUACUCUCUUAAAGGAGUCAUCAGCUAAUGUAGUUUUUAUAUACUGCAGUUCAUCAGAUAAAUGAAAUGGCUUUCACAGAUUUUGAUAAACAGCUUCUUGACGCUGUAACCAAGUAAGUGAGACGGAAAAAAAAAAGGGGUGAG
rnacentral:lncRNA from 1 species